GACGAACGCUGGCGGCGUGCUUAACACAUGCAAGUCGAACGGAAAGGCCCUGCUUUUGUGGGGUGCUCGAGUGGCGAACGGGUGAGUAACACGAGAGUAACCUGCCCUUGACUUUGGGAUAACUUCAGGAAACUGGGGCUAAUACCGGAUAGGAGCUCCUGCUGCAUGGUGGGGGUUGGAAAGUUUCGGCGGUUGGGGAUGGACUCGCGGCUUAUCAGCUUGUUGGUGGGGUAGUGGCUUACCAAGGCUUUGACGGGUAGCCGGCCUGGGAGGGUGACCGGCCACAUUGGGACUGAGAUACGGCCCAGACUCCUACGGGAGGCAGCAGUGGGGAAUAUUGCACAAUGGGCGGAAGCCUGAUGCAGCAACGCCGCGUGCGGGAUGACGGCCUUCGGGUUGUAAACCGCUUUCGCCUGUGACGAAGCGUGAGUGACGGUAAUGGGUAAAGAAGCACCGGCUAACUACGUG
rnacentral:rRNA from 1 species